rnacentral:miRNA from 1 species
UUUGUUGAUUGACAUCUAUAC